rnacentral:misc_RNA from 1 species
UCCGUCGCUUCUACCACCGUGCACAGCGGAACACCACUGCACAAUCACCGCUACCAACAUUUAGUUCUGCCGCUGCCCUCUCUGAAUCAGGUUUCAUUCGGGUGAGUGAUGACUAGAGAACAAAUCACCAUAUAGCCUGUUGCAAUCUGUGGUGAAUCAUAGAGGAAACGGAAGAAGAUAGAGAUGUUUUCAUUGUUUUAUGGACUAUAUAAAUACAUGUUUAGCAAGACAGAGUUUCAUGUCCUUAUUCUUGGGAUUGACAAAGCUGGGAAAACGACAUUGUUAGAGAAAAUAAAG